rnacentral:rRNA from 1 species
AAAUUGAAGAGUUUGAUCAUGGCUCAGAUUGAACGCUGGCGGCAGGCCUAACACAUGCAAGUCGAGCGGUAGCACAGAGAGCUUGCUCUCGGGUGACGAGCGGCGGACGGGUGAGUAAUGUCUGGGAAACUGCCUGAUGGAGGGGGAUAACUACUGGAAACGGUAGCUAAUACCGCAUAACGUCGCAAGACCAAAGUGGGGGACCUUCGGGCCUCAUGCCAUCAGAUGUGCCCAGAUGGGAUUAGCUAGUAGGUGGGGUAACGGCUCACCUAGGCGACGAUCCCUAGCUGGUCUGAGAGGAUGACCAGCCACACUGGAACUGAGACACGGUCCAGACUCCUACGGGAGGCAGCAGUGGGGAAUAUUGCACAAUGGGCGCAAGCCUGAUGCAGCCAUGCCGCGUGUGUGAAGAAGGCCUUCGGGUUGUAAAGCACUUUCAGCGGGGAGGAAGGCGUUAAGGUUAAUAACCUUGGCGAUUGACGUUACCCGCAGAAGAAGCACCGGCUAACUCCGUGCCAGCAGCCGCGGUAAUACGGAGGGUGCAAGCGUUAAUCGGAAUUACUGGGCGUAAAGCGCACGCAGGCGGUCUGUCAAGUCGGAUGUGAAAUCCCCGGGCUCAACCUGGGAACUGCAUUCGAAACUGGCAGGCUAGAGUCUUGUAGAGGGGGGUAGAAUUCCAGGUGUAGCGGUGAAAUGCGUAGAGAUCUGGAGGAAUACCGGUGGCGAAGGCGGCCCCCUGGACAAAGACUGACGCUCAGGUGCGAAAGCGUGGGGAGCAAACAGGAUUAGAUACCCUGGUAGUCCACGCCGUAAACGAUGUCGAUUUGGAGGUUGUGCCCUUGAGGCGUGGCUUCCGGAGCUAACGCGUUAAAUCGACCGCCUGGGGAGUACGGCCGCAAGGUUAAAACUCAAAUGAAUUGACGGGGGCCCGCACAAGCGGUGGAGCAUGUGGUUUAAUUCGAUGCAACGCGAAGAACCUUACCUGGUCUUGACAUCCACAGAACUUUCCAGAGAUGGAUUGGUGCCUUCGGGAACUGUGAGACAGGUGCUGCAUGGCUGUCGUCAGCUCGUGUUGUGAAAUGUUGGGUUAAGUCCCGCAACGAGCGCAACCCUUAUCCUUUGUUGCCAGCGGUCCGGCCGGGAACUCAAAGGAGACUGCCAGUGAUAAACUGGAGGAAGGUGGGGAUGACGUCAAGUCAUCAUGGCCCUUACGACCAGGGCUACACACGUGCUACAAUGGCAUAUACAAAGAGAAGCGACCUCGCGAGAGCAAGCGGACCUCAUAAAGUAUGUCGUAGUCCGGAUUGGAGUCUGCAACUCGACUCCAUGAAGUCGGAAUCGCUAGUAAUCGUAAAUCAGAAUGCUACGGUGAAUACGUUCCCGGGCCUUGUACACACCGCCCGUCACACCAUGGGAGUGGGUUGCAAAAGAAGUAGGUAGCUUAACCUUCGGGAGGGCGCUUACCACUUUGUGAUUCAUGACUGGGGUGAAGUCGUAACAAGGUAACCGUAGGGGAACCUGCGGUUGGAUCACCUCCUUA